ensembl:miRNA
UUUGGAGGGGUGUGGAAAGAGGCAGAACAUUCAUUCACUUUCCUCCCUUCCUCUGCACCAG